GUAGAUUUAGCAGUACAUUACUGUAAAAAUCCACAGUACUAUACUGUAUGUGUACAUUACAGUACAGUACUGCAGUUCAUAAUGCAUUCUGGGUAAAUUUGUUUGAGCGGGAAAAUUUUACAGUAUAUUUUGGUCUUGAUGUAACCUUGCUGUAGCCAUUGCUGUAAUGUGCCAGGUGUACUUGCAAUAAUCAGAGAAAGUGCGCCAACGUCAAAUCACACAGAGGGAGACAGAGCACAACUCCUGGCUGCAGCUGAAGGAGGAUGAUUGAUUUCUGGCAGUUCGUCUUACCAUUGCUUGUAAGCUGGAUUGGGUAAGAUGGAUCAUCUUUAAAGGCACCAGGAGUUAAGGCAGAUGUGGAGGCACAACGGGUGAUACCAGACACACACCAAGCACAUUAUGUUUGGACAUUCAAUCAUGACAUGAUCCAGGUGGAUGCUGUCCAUUGAGGAAAGAGUUUGUUCAGCGGUUUCUGGAUAGAAUUAAUUCCAAAGAUGGGAAAAAGUGCACAUCCAGACAAGGAGCAAGCAAAAAGACAAGGAACUUGGUGCAGAGAAAAGCUGUGGCCAUUAACCCCUGUGAACAGCUUCAUGCAGUCGCUGAUUGAGUUCGAAUGGACGACUUCAAAGUAAAGGCCACUGUGGUCUGUCUGCCACAGUUUAAUUUUUAAUUUAUUUUUUGUGUUCAAUGAAAUUCAAGUAGAAUAUUUAAAACUAUGGGCCAGUGUUG